CCUACGGGUGGCAGCAGUGGGGAAUAUUGCACAAUGGGGGAAACCCUGAUGCAGCGACGCCGCGUGAGUGAAGAAGUAUCUCGGUACGUAAAGCUCUAUCAGCAGGGAAGAAAAUGACGGUACCUGACUAAGAAGCCCCGGCUAACUACGUGCCAGCAGCCGCGGUAAUACGUAGGGGGCAAGCGUUAUCCGGAUUUACCGGGGGUAAAGGGAGCGUAGACGGGAGCACAAGUCUGGAGUGAAAUCCCGGGGCCUAACCCCGGAACUGCUUUUGAAACUGUGCGGCUGGAGUGAAGGAGGGGUAAGCGGAAUUCCUAGUGUAGCGGUGAAAUGCGUAGAUAUUAGGAGGAACACCGGUGGCGAAGGCGGCUUACUGGACUGUAACUGACGUUGAGGCUCGAAAGCGUGGGGAGCAAACAGGAUUAGAUACCCUGGUAGUC
rnacentral:rRNA from 1 species